UCCCCGGUGGCCUAGUGAUUAAGGAUCUGGCAUUGUCACUGCUGUGACUUGGGUUCAAUCCCUGGCCUGGGAA
rnacentral:tRNA from 1 species